AGGCUAAUUUUGUCCUCUUUAGGCUCCAUGAUACAAGGGAAUGCAGUACAAACGCAAGUCUCAACAGUAGAGAGUCAAAACCAUCCAGCACUCAGUGGCCCCAUCGCGCUGGUCAGUAGAGGACCCGAGGCCAUCAGACGCAGCGGAACCUUUCUGGGUCGUAAGGUGAUAGUCCGGGGGACGUAAAUAGCCAGACGACGCGAGGAGGAAAGUGCGGGAGACUGGAAUGAAGCGACUGGAGAGUUAUGAAGGAUGAUGCCGCCGAAGUCCCGAGCGGCUUCGAGACAAGGAAGAGAAGCUCCGCGACUCACUUGAGCCAGUCAGUCAGUGCUGUGACACAAGGAGCAGCUUUCUCAGCGACGGGGAGCGGUGGACGGCGGAUGAAUACUUCGGCUCCCGCGCCUUCUUCUGCAUCAUGUCCGACCCUCUGACCCUGGUGGUGGGCGACCUGCGUCAGAGGAGUUGAAAAUGUAGGGGACUCGCUGCUGUGCCCUGCGUGUAGCUGUGAGGUGAAGUACAGACGGCUGCAUUGUCUCAGCCUCGGAGGUGCCACUUGUUCAAAUUACGAAUGGUUUAAUGUUAUUUUUUGCAGGCUGUGGAAUAUUGCAGUAUCUUAUAACAAGACAAAUGAUAUAA